rnacentral:lncRNA from 1 species
GUAUUAUUAGGUUAACUUGUUUCCAUUUUAAAGUUGUGUUUUGACUCUGUAAGUUACAAGUGCAAACACUCAGACACUUGCCUUUUUCAGGUUUUUAAUAUAACAUGAAGGAUCAGAAAAUUACAACACACACUACAACACUUUUUUAACUUAAAGUGUUGUAAAUUCAUAAACCAUACAACAACAGUCACACUCAAAAUGUAUCUUUGUAACACAUGAGUUUCAGUUUCGCAUUUGACUCUGUCUUGCUCUUCAGCGAGCGAUAGCAUCCCUGUGUGUACACUGCACAUUGCAGAGCAGUCCAAUGCAUGUCUGGGUAUACGUAUUUAUGCACUGUUUGGUAAAGCCUGAUAACAUGACAGUGUGAUGUGCAGAAAAGAAAUUGAAAUUACUGCAACUGCAUGUGAACGAAAGAAGAGAGCAUUCUUUCAUGAGAAACUCCACAUUGAUGCAGCCAAGCUCGUAGUUGAAGUCAACCAACCCAGGCAAAUGGAGUUCAGCUUUUCCAGGGAUCUCGGGCUCCCGGGAUCAAACAUCGUUGCUAACAGGCAGCCCCGGCAGGCAGGCAGCGGUCACCACAGCACCGGCCCCUGGGCCAGAGGGAAACACCCUCCCUGUGGCUUCCCUCUCCUGACAAAUAUUAAAGACCUGGCCUUCCCCUCUGGCCAUUUUUGUUAUCCUUUAUUUGCGUGCCAUUUUGCGGUGGUGUAAAUAAAAGAAAAGAAAAGAAAUCUAUAUGAUCUUGCACUCCAUUAUUUCUGUUUAAUAUCAAAUAAUCAGUUGAAAUCCAACAGCACAACAAAAACAUUGACGCAUCAACAUCUGUUGAAACACUUUCAGUAGCUCACUUUUAUUAAUUUUUUUUCUGUUAUGUCUCCCAGCUGUUGAAAUGUGGGAAAUUAAUUUUUCUAAAAGGGUUUAACAGAAAUCAUUGCAGAGUUUUCCAUCACAGCCACAAGUGUUCGCUCUCUUGUCCCUUGUGUAGGUCUCUCUCCCCUUCUCUUUGCCUUGCUGUCCUUCUCCCUCUUCCCUCCCUCUCUUUCUCUGACAGGGUUACGGGAUUAGUAGCUGCGUCUUCAAAGGCAGGGCCAUAUGCAUGUAGAUUUACUACAAACACACAGGGGGUAAUUGCACCAGGGGCAAAGGAUUUACACUCCAACAACCUGGAAUCACAGGAUGCUUCACUGACUGCUGUUAAGAAUUCACUGUUACCUUUUGACUUUCACCAGCUUGACAGAAACCCACAUAUAGCACUUUAUCCAUUGUUCAAGUUUAGACCAAUUUUCUCUCUGAAUCAUUAUGUGACUCAUAAAACAUUUGCGUGUGGCAACUCCCUCCUUCUCUUCAUCCCUAAAGAAAAAUAAACUAAUUACACAAUUCAGCCACAGUGCACUUAGGUGCUGAAGUGUAUGAAAGAGGUAUUGAAAACAAAUACCUCAUCAUUGUCGGUUUAAGGGGCUAUAUUGAGCGUGGAGAAGGCAUAUGGGAGGGAGUGGCGUAAUGGAGUGAUGUGAAGAGGUUCCCUUGUGUCUCUUGCAUUCUGACACCAGGUGAUGUUUCAGUUCCUUCACUUCACCUUCGCCUUCCAGCAGCUUGGGUAUAAUAAAGACUUGUGUAAACAGUCAUGGCAUGGAGAGACAGAAAGUGAGAGGUGAGAAAAGAAAGGUGAGGAGAGUUCACGAAGAAGGUUUCCUUUGUGAGAGCGUUUUUUAAGGAUCGUAAGAGAGAGAGAGGGAGGGAGAGAGAGAGAGAGAGAGAGAGAGAGAGAGAGAGAGAGGCUGAAAAAAAAAGUAGCCUACCACAAAGUUCGAAAGCCGAACUCAUUUUCUCCUCUUGCGGAAGAAGACAUGUGGAGAGCAGGUGUUACAGCCAGCUGUGGUAGGAAGAAGAGACGGUGCUAGAGCAUAGGAAACUGCUCCCUCUACAGAUCAUUCAGAAGGAUUACAGCCUAUGUUGAGGACAAGGGAUAGGUCAAGACAUGCCCAGGCAAAGACCAUUCAAUUCAAGGACUGAUCGCCCCUCAUGGGUAACAUGAGUCAGGUGUCAGACCUCAAUCGAAACAUGAAUGAACAUCAAAGAUCACAAAGAUCAAGGUGCAUAACCUCUAGUAUGUUGAGCAUUUCUGCAGAAUUAAAGCAUAUUGUCUCAUCAGCCUGGUGCCAGUGCUUUAUGGAGAUCUAACACCAGUGUGGCAGCACCAAAACUGUGAUUACACCAAAUCUGUAUGAGAUGCUAUUGAUGCCAGAACUGACUGUCACUGAAAGCAAUGUAAUGUCAAUGUUAUACAUCCCACCAGAGGGAAAAGGAACAUAAAAUGGAGUGCAAUGUCGUAAAACACAAUGGAGCAUUUUUAUGGCUUCAUGAAAAAUAGCUGAAUGUAACAGGAGGCAUAUGGUCUUCCUGCUCCAGAAUUGAGUUGAUGUACACUUAAUGGAAUUGGAAAGUAGUACAUUGGGUGUUAGCACAAAGACCUUUUUCUCCCCUUCCCAUUUCACC